AGAGUUUGAUUAUGGCUCAGGAUGAACGCUGGCGGCGUGCUUAACACAUGCAAGUCGAACGAGGUCCAACCUUCGGGUGAAGACCGAGUGGCGAACGGGCGAGUAACACGUGGGGAACCUGCCCUUCUCUCUGGGAUAACCUCGGGAAACCGAAGCUAAUACCGGAUACUCCUUGCGGACCGCAUGGUCUGCUCGGGAAAGCUCCGGCGGAGAAGGAUGGCCCCGCGGCCCAUUAGCUUGUUGGUGGGGUAACGGCCCACCAAGGCGACGAUGGGUAGCCGAGCUGAGAGGCUGAUCGGCCACACUGGGACUGAGACACGGCCCAGACUCCUACGGGAGGCAGCAGUGGGAAAUCUUGCGCAAUGGGCGAAAGCCUGACGCAGCAACGCCGCGUGCGGGAUGAAGGCUCUCGGGUCGUAAACCGCUUUCAGCAGGGAUGAAAAUGACAGUACCUGCAGAAGAAGCCCCGGCUAAAUACGUGCCAGCAGCCGCGGUAAUACGUAUGGGGCAAGCGUUAUCCGGAUUCAUUGGGCGUAAAGCGCGCGUAGGCGGCUUGUUAAGUCAGGCGUGAAAUCCGGGGGCUCAACCCGCGGCUUGCGUCUGAAACUGGCAGGCUUGAGUCUGGUAGAGGAAAGUGGAAUUCCUGGUGUAGCGGUGAAAUGCGCAGAUAUCAGGAGGAACACCAGUGGCGAAGGCGGCUUUCUGGGCCACGACUGACGCUGAGGCGCGAAAGCUAGGGGAGCGAACAGGAUUAGAUACCCUGGUAGUC
rnacentral:rRNA from 1 species